AUUGAACGCUGGCGGCAGGCCUAACACAUGCAAGUCGAGCGGGGUUUUCGGACCUAGCGGCGGACGGGUGAGUAAUGCGUAGGAAGCUGCCCGAUAGAGGGGGAUACCAGUUGGAAACGACUGUUAAUACCGCAUAAUGUCUACGGACCAAAGUGUGAGACCUUCGGGCCACAUGCUAUCGGAUGCGCCUGCGUGGGAUUAGGUAGUUGGUGAGGUAAUGGCUCACCAAGGCGACGGUCUCUAGCUGGUUUGGGAGGAUGCUCAGCCACACUGGAACUGAGACACGGUCCAGACUCCUACGGGAGGCAGCAGUGGGGAAUAUUGGACAAUGGGCGCAAGCCUGAUCCAGCCAUGCCGCGUGUGUGAAGAAGGCCUUCGGGUUGUAAAGCACUUUCAGCGAGGAGGAAGGGGUUGCAGUUAAUAGCUGCAACCUUUGACGUUACUCGCAGAAGAAGCACCGGCUAACUCUGUGCCAGCCGCCGCCGUAACAC
rnacentral:rRNA from 1 species